UGAACAAGGUCAAGGUUGUGAUGGACCUC
rnacentral:piRNA from 1 species